GAUGAACGCUGGCGGCGUGCCUAAUACAUGCAAGUCGAGCGAAGCGGGGACGGGUAAGUAACACGUGGAUGACCGCCUAUAAGGAUGGGAUAACUUCGGGAAACCGGAGAUCAACCGGUUACUUAUUGAUGUAUCCUUGCUGCAUUAGCUAGUUGGUAAGGUAACGGCGUACCAAGGCAACGAUGCAUAGCCGACCUGAGAGGUGGAUCGGCCACACUGGAACUGAGACACGGUCCAGACUCCUACGGGAGGCAGCAGUAGGGAAUCUUCCGCAAUGGGCGAAAGCCUGACGGAGCCACGCCGCGUGAGUGAUGAAGGUCUUCGGAUCGUAAAACUCUGUUAUUAGGGAGGCGGUACCUACUCAGAAAGCCCCGGCUAACUACGUGCCAGCAGCCGCGGUAAUUC
rnacentral:rRNA from 1 species